CGCAACCCAUUCACAAUCACAUCUCUGCCCGUUCGCCCACCUCCCAGCGCGGCCCGUUCGCCCGCCCUACCGCACGCCGUCCCUCUCCAUCACAACCCAGCUCUGCUCCGUCAGACUCCCUCCCUAACCAGCGCCGUGCGCGCCCGGCCUAGCAUCCGCCGCCGUCGCUCCUAGACACCAAACCGGAUCGGAUUGGAUCGCCGCAGGGAUGUUCUCGAACGAGACCAGCACACUCCUGGACCUUGACGUGAAGACCUUAGGACCCCUGGGCGCCCCUGGUAGAUGCUCAGCCGCAGGAGGGAGGCGCAGGUCGCCCCGUCGUCGCAGGCCAUGACCUCCUGUUCAGUCAAAAAAAAAAAAAACUGAUGCGGCGCGCAGGCGAUGAGCAAAUGAUGGCUGGUGACAGUUGGACUUUUGUUUUUCACUGCGAGGGGAAACCUGCAGGAGAAGAAUUCUUCCAGACGGAAAUGGAUAAGGGUGAUAUCUGCUAUUAUAACCUUAUCCUAUUGAUUGAGAAACUUGGGUAUGUAGCGAGGGACUUUUUGUACUACAAGAGAGGUAGGAGUGAGGUGGCUAGUCUGCAGCUGAUAGACUAUCAUGAUGAUGUGGAGAGAAUGAUAAGAGGUAAUGAGAGUGAGAAGAAGGUUCGAUUUGUAUUGUCGAAGGAACAACUGACGGAGCUGAGCAUAUCACCCAUCAAACGCUAUAGGGAACAACCAGUUAGAGAGGAAACAAUCAAUGCAUACAAGGACUGGCUAAAGGAGCAAGAACCAGCAAUGGGUAAUUUGUUUUGCUAUACUGUAUACACUACGUAUUCUUAUUGGCCAUGUAAAGGUUAGUAUCAAUUUCUUUCUACUCAACUUACUGUUAUGGAUUAUCAAGUAUUCUACUUGUGUCCUCCAAGCGUUACAGAACGUGCUGUUGCUAGGUUAUUUUUUUGUGUUAAAAGUAAAGAGUCAGCAUUCAUCAAUGGAUAUAUUGAUGACUUGCGAGCUUUGCGGAUGAUUUUAGAGCAUGAUAUAUUGAUGACUAUUAAUUAUGGACUGUAGCAUGAGUUUUGCUUUCCAUAAUAACAUAUCUGUAUUUGGAUGCAUGUAUCAUGUGGUUUUUCACACAUUAGAAUCAUUUAUGCAGCAACAUUUGCAAGAACUGAUAUAUUGAUAACUUGCAGGCUUUGCUUUAGAGUGAAGACAAUUGAGGCAUACAAGGAAUGGCUGGAGGACCAAGGCGAACUACCAGAUAUUAUUGCAUAUUUAGAGGAGCAGAGUGAGGGUUCUCCUAUCCCAGCUGUCGAAACUAAUGACAAUACCAUCCCAGCUGUCGAAACCAAUGACAGCACCCCAUCACCAACAAAUAGGCCAUCUCAUGCUCGGAGUGAUCGUACGAAGAUAGCAACUGCUUCCGAUCAAGCACGCAAGAAAGGUGGUCGUGGUACACUCAAAGGUUUAACAGCAGCCAAAAAGCGAAUCACGAAUGGUUCUCAAAAACUUGAAAUUCAAUUCUCAACGAGGUUGGGAGGUCUCAUAGGAAUAAACUCUCGCUCCUUUGUGGAUGAAAUUGCAAUGUAUACAAGAAAAAAGGCACCACUCAUUGGCGUGACAAAGUGGAAAGAUAUACAUCAAAUUGUCAAAAAUGAUAUAGCUUCAAAAGUUUUGAAUAAGUGGAACCUUAAAAACACCAUGAGUACAAAGAUGACGAUUUGGGAUAUUGCCAAUGAGCGAUAUAGAGGAUGGCGAUCAACAUUGCAUGCUACAUGCACGGCAUAUAGUACUUAUGCUGAGAGGAUGAGACACAAGCAUGAAGAUGUUGGUAUUGUUGAGUGGCACUACUUGAUUAAAUAUUUCGGGACUGAGAAAUUCAAGAAGCUUAGCCAACCAAAUUCUGAAAAUUGUAAGAAAUAGAAGACCAAGCAUUUGAUGGGUUCCAAAUCUUUUUCUCAAUUUAGCUAUGAGCAGAGAGACACGGAAACAAGUGAAGAGCCAAAUGAUUUGUCUCUAUGGCAAGGCACUCAUAUGAAGAAUGGUCAAUGGUCCAACGCUGCUUCUAAGGCUGUCUAUGAAAAUGCAUGCUCGAAAAUUUGUGAGAGAGAACUCAGAGAAGUAGAGACUGAAGGAUGUGCACUUGCAGAGGAAGAGGAAAACAAUAUUUUCCAAUCAAGCUAUAGGUCAUCUACAGGAUGCAAAACAUCCAAGGUUUAUGGACAUGGAUACAUGCUCAAAUAGAUGAAACCCAACGACAAAACGUUGAGCUCCAUGAUGAGGUUCGAAACUUGCGAGAUCAACUUGCAAAUGAACAUGCAGAAAGGGAUAGGAUAAUCGAACAAUCAAGGCUUCAACAGCAAGAAGAAGCGCACAAUGCAAGGCUACCACUAAGAGAGGAACUCAGGGAGGAACUCAAGUAGGAACUGAGGGAGGAGAUGAUGGCAAUGUUUGCACAACAGAGACAAGCAACAACACAGCAGUGUAACAUAUAAAGUAAUAUUUUGAGUGUGGAUGCACCUAGGUCAACUGCGAAUAAGAGUAGUCACAGCAAUGGAAAUCCUAAUGUAGUGCGUGCGUUGUUCCAAAACACAAAGUCCAAUGGAGCAGCAAGUUUUAUUACCUCGCAAAACCUUACGCAAGCUGCUAGAAAGCAUGCACGGCCACAGAAUGAUCAGGAUUGAAUGAUCUGAGUGGAGCACACGGUGCUAUGCAAUGCAUGGACAAGUCAAGCAAUUUAAAAGUAGAGAACAAGCAAUCCCUAUGUUCCCAAGAAUAGUGUUAAUGCUGUUAUGAGAGUCUUAAGAACUUUAUUAUUUUCUUUGUGGAUUUUCUUAUGUAAUACAUGUCGUGUUUCAUAUUUUGUUGGAUGUUAGCACAUA